rnacentral:rRNA from 1 species
AGAAUAAACGCUGGCGGCGUGCCUAACACAUGCAAGUCGAACGAGAAAGCCUUAAUCUUCGGAUGGGCGAGUAAAGUGGCGCACGGGUGAGUAACGCGUAGGUAACCUACCCCCGGGACCGGGAUAACAGUGCGAAAGUGCUGCUAAUACCGGAUACGAUUGUGGAGCGGGAGCUUUGCGAUGAAAGUCGGCCUCUCGGAGAAGCCGAUGUUCGGGGAUGGGCCUGCGUCCUAUCAGCUGGUUGGUAGGGUAACGGCCUACCAAGGCGACGACGGGGUAGCUGGUCUGAGAGGAUGAUCAGCCACACUGGCACUGGGAACACGGGCCAGACUNCUACGGG